rnacentral:rRNA from 1 species
CCUACGGGAGGCUGCAGUGAGGAAUAUUGGUCAAUGGACGCAAGUCUGAACCAGCCAUGCCGCGUGCAGGAUGACGGCUCUAUGAGUUGUAAACUGCUUUUGUACGAGGGUAAACCCCGAUACGUGUAUCGGGUUGAAAGUAUCGUACGAAUAAGGAUCGGCUAACUCCGUGCCAGCAGCCGCGGUAAUACGGAGGAUCCGAGCGUUAUCCGGAUUUAUUGGGUUUAAAGGGUGCGUAGGCGGUUUGAUAAGUUAGAGGUGAAAUGUUGGGGCUCAACCCCGAAACUGCCUCUAAUACUGUUAGACUAGAGAAUAGUUGCGGUAGGCGGAAUGUAUGGUGUAGCGGUGAAAUGCUUAGAGAUCAUACAGAACACCGAUUGCGAAGGCAGCUUACCAAACUAUAUCUGACGUUGAGGCACGAAAGCGUGGGUAGCAAACAGGAUUAGAUACCCCAGUAGUC